GGAGGGAUGGGUGAGUGGCUUAAACCAGCAGUUUGCUAAACUGUCGUGGGGUGUCAAACCCCACCGGGGGUUCGAAUCCCCCUCCCUCCGCCA
rnacentral:tRNA from 1 species